GAUGAAGAAUGCAGCGAAAUGCGAUACGUAAUGUGAAUUGCAGAAUUCAGUGAAUCAUCGAAUCUUUGAACGCACAUUGCGCCUGCCAGCACUCUGGCAGGCAUGCCUGUUCGAGCGUCAUUUCAACCAUCAAGCCCUAGGCUUGCGUUGGAGCCCUGCGGCUGCCGCAGGCCCCUAAAAGCAGUGGCGGGCUCGCUAUCACACCGAGUGCAGUAGAUUACUCUUCGCUCAGGGCGUGUGGCGGGUUCCAGCCGUGAAACCCCCUACUUCUCAAGGUUGACCUCGGAUCAGGUAGGAAUACCCGCUGAACUUAAGCAUAUCAAUAAGCGGAGGA
rnacentral:misc_RNA from 1 species